CCUGAGAAACCCAAAAGAUCGAUCGGGGAGAUUCAUCGUCAGCGAUUCUGGUACGUGCGCGGUUCGCGAUGCUUCGGGACCUCGGUCCCGAGACACGCGUCCGCGCAUGGUUUUAUUGGCCAGUUGUCGUCGGCGUGCACUUCUCCCCUAGUAGGACGUCGCGACCCGUUGGGUGUCGGUCUACGGCCCGGGUGGUAGCCUGUCGUGUGUCGCGCCUUGUGCCGACAUGCGGCAGACCCYCGGAAUCGCCCGACCGGCUGCUCGGCGGUAYUCGCACGGUAUCGAGCCGCAAAUAUUCGAACUGCGUCCGGCCCGCCGCAAGCGAGGUCAGUGUUUCCCGGAUGUGCGGACCUAGCGCCGUCACCGGGCCUGGCCAGCUGUUGGUAGGCGGUGUCCUGGGACUGGCUCAAAAAAAUUAUGAUACCGGUCGGCGACGCUACUGCUUUGGGUACUUUCAGGACCCGUCUUGAAACACGGA
rnacentral:rRNA from 1 species